rnacentral:tRNA from 1 species
GCCUGGGUGGCUCAGUCAGUUAAGCAUCUGACUUCAGCUCAGGUCACGAUCUCAUGGUUCGUGGGUUCAAGCCCCAUAUUGGGUU